rnacentral:rRNA from 1 species
AGUAACGCGUGAGGAACCUGCCUCAAAGAGGGGGGCAACAGUUGGAAACGACUGCUAAUACCGCAUAAGCCCACGGCUCGGCAUCGAGCAGAGGGAAAAGGAGUGAUCCGCUUUGAGAUGGCCUCGCGUCCGAUUAGCUAGUUGGUGAGGUAACGGCCCACCAAGGCGACGAUCGGUAGCCGGACUGAGAGGUUGAACGGCCACAUUGGGACUGAGACACGGCCCAG